ensembl:lncRNA
GGGUCUCUAGUGGUCUCCCAGGGUCUUGGUCUCUAGUGGUCUGUAAGGGUCUGGGUCUGAGGCUGUCUCCCAGGGUCUGGGUCUGUAGUGGUCUCUCAGCGUCUCUAGUGGUCUCUUAUGGUCUGGGUCUGAAGCUGUCUCUAAGGCGUGUGGGGGGGUUGUUGGCCUGCAUGCUGUCGUCAACUCAACCAGAGUUAAUACAUGUUUAGAGGUGAGAGUGGGCUGUCCUUGCGACCGGCUUAUCCUGCCAGUGUUGAGGAGAUGCAACCUUUUAGUAUCACUCUGAGUCCAUGGUGAGUGUCUGCUCUGUAAGUCCCAUCCAAGACUGGAAGUAGCCUAACUCGGGUGUGGAUUAUCUCACUAAACCCCUUCUCUCUCUCUCUCUCUCUCUCUCUCUCUCUCUCUCUCUCUC